AGUUAAAAAAAAUAGACUAUGUUUAUAUCUACACCUGUCAUCUUUAGACUUCAAUAAUGAAUGAAACAUUAGCAUAAUGCUUCAGAUAAUCAAACUUCUUAAAUAUGUAAAACUUUCUGUUUCAGACCACUAUAAUAUAUCCAGUGACCUUUUUUUUUCUUUCUUUCUUUUUUCAAAUACACUGUGGGAUUAAUGCUUCAUAAUUUCAUGGAUAUGUUUAAAAUCAUAUUCAUGUUACAUUUUGACUUCAUGGUGCAAAAAGUCCAAAAACAACAAUUUGCCCUUAGCCAUUUCUUUCUCUCCAGAAUGAAAACCCGUCAUGAAUAAUGUCCUCAAGAUGGUCAACAAUAUUUUCUAUUCAUUUGAAUGUCUACAUCACCCAGGAAAAUAAACAAGAAAAUGUUUAUCCUGCUGGUCAGUCUAUCAUUUGUGAAUAUGAGACAAUUGUAAAAAUGGCAAGAUAUAAUGCCAAUAUUUUUGAUUUUCAUUAUGUUUUAAAAAUAAACAUUUUAUCUGCUUUAUUGUUGCUAUAUUAAGUCAUCAGUGCAUUUUCAGCAGAGAUGGAAAUUUACCUUCUCUUUAAACAACUGCAUUUCUGUAAGUGCAACCAUGAAACUUUAUUUAUUGCAUUUUAUUGAUAUAUAUUUAAGUCAAAAUUUUAGACUGAAUAAACAGGAACAAAUUGAUUUCAUAAGCUUAAUGUUCAGACACUAUUAUAUAACCCCACUCUAAUAUUACACACUUCUUCUUGUUAUUUUCUCUCAUAACGUGCUUAAAUGAAAGAAUUGUACCUCUAGAUGUCAGGUUAUGUGACAUAUUAUCCAGUUUAAACCAUGUCUGGGAUCUCACAAAUAUGCAUUUAAGGAAUAUGUCAUGAUAAAAUAAUUGUCUAACAUAAUAAUUGUGUGAUUAUAAUUAUUAAGAGAAGAAGAAAUGCUCUUAUGGGGGGGGGGGGGGGGGCAAACUUUGUGAUGUUAUCAUUAGUCAUUUUUGGUGAGCUUGUGAUUCUUAUUUGGGGUUCAUCAGCAGAAAAAGGUUUCUACAGAUGCAUCAAUGGGGAAAAAAAAAGCUUCAAAAUAGGUUCAAAUUAUCAUGAUGAUACUUCUUUCUGUUGCCUGACAUUACCACUGUGAGCUAGCCUUGCUAAUAGUAUGGUGCUAAUAUGUGAGACAUUCUCACCUGCCCCUCCCUUCCUUCUAGCAGACAGUAAAACCAUGUGGCAGAAUUACUAAAGAAUAGUGAAAGAUGUGUCCAGACUGAUCUGUUCAGCGCUCCAUAUCUGUGCAAAGGAUAACCUAGGGGAGGGGUGUGUGUGUGCGUGUGUGAUUGUGGGCUGAGUGUUUCAGCCCUAAUCUCCCGGGCCAUGAUGAAGAAAAGGCCAGUGCUGUGUGGCUUUAUGCUGCUGAGAGUAAGAGAAUCUCCCAUGCUUGGUAAGCACGUGUAUCAGGCCAUCUCACGGCCCACUGGACGCUCCGUGGGUGGCCCAAACUCCCCUCCACUCUCCACUGACCCAGGCCCGCGGAGGAUAAUCUCUCCUGCUCCAUGUUUUCAGGCCAGAGCCACGCUCCUGGGUCAGGAUGUGUUAGCGAGACACAGGUUGAGAGUGGAUGUGGGGGGGUUUGGACACAAGGGGCAGGUUUGAGUGUGAGCAUUGGAGUGUGUGCUGCAGGGCACCGAGGCAGCUUCUGUAGAGGAAACACCGUAGAAAGCACGAUUGCCACUGAAACAGGUCAGAAGGGGGUGUGUGUGUGUGUGUGUGUGUGUGUGUGUGUGUGUGUGUGUGUGUGUGUGUGUAUGUGUGUGUGUAUCUUCAUGUCCAGCUACUUUGUACAAAUGUGUCAGCUUGAGAACUCUUUAUUUAAAAAACAUUACACUUGGUGCACAUCAGUCCUUUAGUGCAUUAUGAUUUUCUUUUAUACGAUUCAUCUAUACACAAAACGUCAUCAAACCUACAUAGGUUUAUGCAUAAAUAUAUAUUUUCUAAUUCGUAAAAAUUUCAAACAGGACAAAACAUUUCACAUAAAAUAAAACAUUUUAAAAUCUCCUUUAAAAAUGCACUGAAAUCUUAAUAAUGUCUUUUGAAUGCAUUUGUAUAUUAAUGAGCCUGUAAUGUUAUGCAGAAACAGACACAAACAUCAAAAUCAUUAAUUAAGCAAAAUACACUACAAGUCAAAAGUUUCAAGACACUUGACUUAAAUGUUUCUCAUGAGCUUACAAACCUUUUGAUCGGAAGGUAUGAUUAAAUGUUUGAAAUCGGUGUUGUAGACAACAUUAUAAUUGUGCCAACAUAUUAAUUUCUUUCAUUAGAAAACUAACAUUUUAUUUACAAAUUAUAUUUUGUUUAAAUGGAUGACUUGGAGCGAAAUAUUCCGGAAAGCAGCCAAUAAGUGUCCAGCGUAGGUGUGAACUCCUUUAAUACUGGUUAAAACGCAUCUCUGGGAAAUUCCUCAAGAAAUCGGUUGAGAAAAUGCCAAGAAUACAUUUCUGGAGAUUCUAGGCAAAAAGGGCAUCUUUAAAGAUGCUCAAAUAUUAAAUUAUUUGUAUUUAUUCUAUUUUUAUCACAACAUAAUUCCCAUAGUUCCUAUUUGUGUUACUCCAGAGUUUUGAUGACUUUAUUAUUAUUUUAAAAUGUGGAAAAAUUCAAAUUAAAAUAAAGAAUGAGUGUGUCUAAACUUUUCAUCGGUAGUGUAUAUUAAUUUGUUUACCCAUGGAAAUAAACAUUUAUUUAUGUAUCCCCGUCAAUAAUAAUGAGAAACAGUUUUAUAUUGUAUUGGACAAACGUAAGUUAAAAAACACACACAACACAGAAAAAAUUCAGGUUUCACUUUUAUUGUUCAUUCAUUCUGCAUAAUUCAUUUAUUAUUACAGUAUUCAUACAAUAGUAUACAGCUUCAAGAAAUAUCAGAGAUUAUGCUAUAAUUAACGUAUGGCUAUAAGGAUAUCAUGCUUUGUACGAGCAGGUUGUGCUUUUUCGUCUUGUAUGUUUGUUCUUAAAAAUGCAAAUAUGCCUGCAAAUGAUAUCGUCAUCUGUAGCUGUAUAGUACUCUAUUAAGUGUAUAAAUGUUUCAGAUUUCCAUAGUGUGCUAUACAUCAUACAGGUUAGAUACAAUCAAAACCAUACCAAUGGGAAAAAUGUACUUGUUGCAACUGAAAAAAAUGUUACAAUAUAGUAAAAAAAAAAAAAAAAGAGCGAAAAACAUUUUUUAGAUGAGAAACCUGCAACCCAAAGUUUAUUUUUAUACUCUAGGUGCCAAUAAACAAACAAACAAACAAACAGAAAAGUUUAUAUGAAUGCAGUAUCACAGCAUUUUUUUUAUUUAUGCUGUUAAAUUAUGAUCAGAAACUUACCUUAUUGAAAUACUCACCAGUAUUAAAGGGGCAAAAGCUAAAUUCUUUAAGCAGUCAUUGACAGUAAAAUAUCAUUGACGUCAUGGUUUUCAUCCUGCACUGGGUCAGGGCUACAGAUCUGAAACACACCAUCCAGGGAGCGGCUCUGAACAACACUCAUAACUCCUGAAAAGACAAAAUUAAAACAUACAAUAUGUGUCGUUGUAAAACACUGUCUAUAUACAUCAGCAAAUACAUGCAUAUUUAUGUAUAUAUAAGAUCUAUAUUAGUAUUGAUGAAUUCUCAAAUCUGAUUUGUCACAAGCUGUUGAUAAAAUUUUUUAUAACAGUACCUCUGACAGUACUUCCAGCUAUAAUGUUUAUAUUAAUAUGCUUGUUCUAACAUGUUAUUGUUUCUAUCGUAAUAACAUGUUACUAUACACCUAAUGUCUAGUUCUUCAAUAAAUAUUUUUUAGUAUUAGCAAAUUUUGAUAUGGUAUAAGAUGAAUAAAACAUGUCAUGCUGUUAAUCAUGUUUGGGGAGUCCACUGUUGAUUAACAUCCUAUAAUAGCACACUCUGAAGUGUUUUAUUCUUUACAUAUAUUACUAUAUCGACAUACAACUAAUAAUAAUACUGUAUAUGUUGCAAUACACUGCAUGUGCGCGUAUAAAACAAUGAAUAUCAAUAUCCAUUGUGUAACUCGAAUAGGUUAAGGUUAGGUGACGGCGUGUUUUUUCAUUAUCCAAAGCAUUCUUUCCUCAUUCCUCUUUCCUAAUUUCUCUCCAUGCAUCUCUAGUACAGCUUUGAAUUGUGUUUGAGGACAUUAGAAGUAAAACAUUGCUAACAAAAUGAUUUAAAAAAAUUAGCAAGAUGCUUCCACUGAGGUAAUGAGCAAUGGGAAUAUAUAGAGAUUAUAUUAUAUUCACUGUUAUGUAUAUAUUGUAUAAUGUAUUGAAUUCUUAUUAAUAUGCUCGUGUGUGUGUGUGUGUGCGUGUGUGUGCGUGUGUGUGUGUGUGUGUGUGUGUGUGUGUGUGUGGAUGAGGUGUGGCUACAAUGCAGAGAAAGGUGGGGGCAGGGAGCCGACUGAUUAACAUGGAUACUUGGGAGCCUCAAAUGAUGCUAUAUGUGCGUGUCUAUAGCCACCGCCACGCCAAAAUGCAAGCGGAUGCGGAUGUGUGCGUGUUUACAAGCAAAUAGGUCGAGGGGCGGGGAAGCAGAGUUUAUCAGCUGUGUGGGUUGACCCUGAGCCUAGAGCCAGACAGGGGUCAGGGGUAAGACUGUCUGGGCACUGGGUUUGACCCCAGGCUCUACCGUAUGGAAGGGAUGAGUAGGGGGAUGGAGGGACUUCUGGUUCCAGUCUAGGGCCCUUAAUGUUUCCUCUGGGGACUGGAAAGCAGACAGGGAAUGACCGUGGCUGCUUAUUCAUCAGCACAUCAGCACUUAGCACCGCAGGCUCGUGUCUGCUUCGUCACAGUGCAUAGUCAUGCAUGUGCGCAGCAAUAUGAUUAAAAUCAAAUACAACUUCUGUGAUAUGGAGUGAGCACCGUGUGUGUGUGUGUGUGUGUGUGUGUGUGUGUGUGUGUGAGUGAGUAUGCACUCAGUAGAUCCAUUAUUUCAAGAAGAUCAAAUAUAGUGGCAGUACAAAUCAUAGAACCAAUCAAAAAGGGGUUUGCUCUAAAAUACAGUCAACUGCAGCCAUGGAGUCACAAGGAGAAGGUCAGCACAAUACAGUAACAAAAUUCACAGCUUUAAACAACAAGAAAACAAGAAAUAUUUUAACAUGUCCUUAUUUUAGUUACAAAAGCAUGAGAAGCAUCACACAGCCUGCAAUAUUCAUAAACACAAGCAUCCUAGACCAGAACAGAAUGGUAUCUGAUGACGAAGUGUGGACGAAGCAUUAUAAAAUGCGUGAACCAUUCAAAAAUAAAAAGUGAGCUAGGCUAUAUUUAGGAAAUAUGGAUGUCAUCUUAGAUUGGUGCUGAAAUUAAAAACUUAGUAGAUUCAGACUCAAACUGAGACGCUGCAUCAGGAGAUCAGUUUAAUGUAUGCAGUCUUUGGUUGAGGAAAAGAGGGUGGGGGUUUGCACCCUGUCUGAGACCCUCUCAAUAAGCAGAAGGGGGCUUCUAAAGGGUGCGUCUACCCACCAAGAAGGGGUGAUGGGCAUUUUUUCAAAGAGGAGGGGAGGUUGCAAGGCCUCAGUUGAGCCUGUCGCGCCUGAUGUCCCAUUAGGAACCGGGAGCAUGGCUGGGGGAAACUGGUUAAACCCCCCCUGCCUCCCAGACUGUUAUUUAAAACAGGCGGUUGGCGGCAUACUAAUUCUCCUCCACACACUUAUGAAUCAAACCCAUAAAAUAAAGGAGGCACAGGAGACAUAUAUUACCAGAGCAAUUAAAUAAGUACUGCUUAUUGGGAAUGGGGUUUUACUGUUUCAGAGGUUGGAUACCAGCAUGGGUUUCAGCUUGGCGCCCUUGAAUAUAAUGAUCAACAUAACAAGGAGCUGAAUUUGUAUUCUUACACUUCAAAAAGACGUAAUAGCAAAAUUUCAUAUUUCAACCUGAUCAAGCACUAUAAUGUUGUUACGUUACUGUCUAAUUUAGUUUCUUUUGGGAAAAUACAUUUCUGAAUUUUUUUGGGAAAUGUUUGAAAAAACAGAUCCUUGGUGACAUGGUCCAGCACUUGUGCUAUGUAUGUGGAAGACUGCUAUUUUUUGAGAAAUGUGUCAAUGUGGCUACAACGGAGUGAGUGUUUGUGUCAGCUGGUUGUGGACGCACAGGUUUUGAAGCAGGACAGUCUGUUCAUUUUCUGAGACGUUUUGUCCUGUUGGUCUGCCUGCCUGAAGUUCGGUAUCAAUCCAGGAAAGACAGCAGAAGGCACAUUAAAAAUAAAUGGUAUCUGAUCACAGCCCUCCUGAAUGAAGAGAUCUGACCAUGUGACCAAGUGACCAGAACUGAGACUGGGAGCUAAAAUAAACUCUUGGACUAGAAACGGCAAGACUAUUUUAGCAUGAAACUGAAUAUAGUGCUAUCUAGUCAUCUGCAUUGCUUGUCCAUGGUCAGUUAAGAAAAUCCACUUACCAGAACACCUGUACACCUGCUCAUUCAUGCAAUUAUCUGAUGAGCCAAUUGUCAGGCAGCAGCACAAUGCAUAAAAUCAUGCAGAUACAGGACAACAUCAAACAUUAAGAAUGGAGGGAAAAUGUGAUCUCAGUUACUUUGACCAUGGUAUGGUUGUUGGUCCCAUAUGGGCUGGUUUGAGUAUUUCAGAAACUGGUGAUCUCCUGGGAAUUUCAUGUGCAAUCAUCUCUAGAGUUUACCAAGAAUUGUGCAAAUAUAUAUCCAGUUAGUGGCAGUUCUGUGGGCCAAAAUGCUUUGUUGAUCAGACAAGUAAAUACAUGGUUUGAGCUAACAGGAGGACUAUGGUAACUCAAAUAACCACUCUUUACAACCAUGAUGAGCAGAAAAGCAUCUCAGAAUGCACAACACCUAAAAGUGGGCUACAACAGCAGGAAUCUACAUUGGGUCCACUCCUGUCAGCCAAGAACAGGAAUCUGCUGCUACAAUGGCCACAGACUCUCCGAAACUGGACAACUAAAGACUGGAAAAAGACCAGCUGAUGUCAACAUUUUCUGAUGUUUGACAAGAACAUUAACUGAAGCUCCUGACCUGUAUCUGCAUGAAUUUAUGCAUCACACUGCUGCCAUAUAAUUGGCAAUUGGAUAAUUGCAUGAAUGAGCAGAUGUACAGGUGUUCCUAUUAAACUGGCUGCUGAUUGUAUAACAGUACAUUAUUCUAUAAAACUGAAUGAAGAAGAAUUUUAGCACUGCUGUAACAACAGUGCAUACCACUUGAUAAAUUAAUAAAGUAAAGAAAAUGAAGAUUAUAGUACCUUGUAUAGAUGAAAUUGUUGUUAGAUAAUACUUUAUUCUAUUUAAUGCUAUUUAAAAAGUUACUGUUUCUACACAUAUUGCCUCAACUCAUAGCUUCCGGUGGGCUCAUUGAUUAAUAAUUAUAAUAUUGAUAUUGUGAUAAAUUACAUCACAGUACAGUUUUCUCGAAAUAUUACAGGCUUCUUCAGGGGUUAUUACUCUGGCAAUAAUUGAAAAUACCACUGAAAGCGUAUUUUCUAAAUGCAGCAUUACUUUGCAUGUUAUGUAUCAUGAAAAGUUUCUUCAAGUAUUGCAAUAUGGCAUCUCUGUAAUAUCACCCACCCAUGAUAAUCAUAGAGAGUCCUAUCAAACCUUUAUGUCCACUCACUUUUGAAGUAGCCCCUGUGGCAAGAGGUGUUACAGCAAAGCCUUUAAUAAAUGUUUCAUGGAUAUUAAAGCGUGUAUCCUUUCAUACUCAAUAGACCUGAUAAGAGAUUCAGCCUCUUUUUAAGGUGGUUUUCCAUACAACUUUUCAGCCAUUACAAGUUUAAUUAAGAGUAAUUAAGUGCUGUACAAGCUUUAAUUAUAUUAGGCAUAAUGUUAUUAUAAACCUGUAGUGGACACGGCCUGUCUAGCGUGAGGCUCCCGGUGCGAACUGAAUGAUAAUGCGACACAUAACCAAGUGGCAUCCGUAGCAAUAGAGACACAGUCCUUGAGCAAAUAGGUCUAUGGGACUUGUGCACACAGGGGUGUAUGUGUGUAUGUGUGUGUACGCUGGGAGGGUAAACACCGAUGAUCUAUUUUCGUUUUUUUUAUUCCAUAGUCACAAAGCUAUAUUCUCAGCUCAUAAGACGGUAGUGGCAGACCGACGACAGUGGAAACCUCACAGCUCUCUGCCUCCCCUUACACACACACACACACACACACACACACACACACACACACACACACGCACACACACACACACACACACACACACACACACACACACACACACACACACACACUGCAGGCUAUGUUGACACACACAAACACAAGGACCCAUGGUUCCAACCCCAUUGUAGCCUACAUCGUGCCUGACAAAAACGGCAAAAGCUAAGCAAAGGCCAUAAACACAGCUGGAUUGUGUCCAGUGUAGCUCAUACAGUAUAUACAUCCAACUCUGGAUCAUUUGAGGUUUAACGAUCCAGACGCUUCCCAGAUAUAUUUACAUUUAUAUAUAUAACAAUGUAUAAAUGCAGCUUUCACACUUCUUAUUCCUAGCAGUGAAAAUCCAACGGAGCUGGUGAUCGUGCUGUGACCACUUGCACUUGCAUGCAAAUUGUGCUACGUUGGCAGACAGAUUGCACUGUCGAGAAUACUUCAUACAUGAGAAUAUGAGAAAAAUGAGGUUAAUAUGUAAUUAGAGGAAAGGGAAGUGAUGAAUCAGUAGCUCUGCUGUAUAUUUAGCAUGCAACAAAUGUAGAUUAGUAAUUAUGUAAGUAUAAUAAUAGAGAAAAAAAACUGAAGGAAUUGAAAACACAUCGACAAAUAAUAAUAAUAAUAAUAAUAAUAAUAAUAAUAAUAAUAGAUGUAGUAGUAGUAGUAAUAAUAAUAAUAAUAAUAAUAAUAUUAGUAGUUGUAGUAGUAGUAGUAGUAGUAGUAAUAAUAAUAAUAAUAAUAAUAAUAAUAAUAAUAUGUUGUUGUUGUUGUUGUUGAGGUUGCUGUUGUUGUACUAUAAAAUAAGCUCUGCCAAUAUCACCUUCCAAAUAAUAAAGUAAUUAAUUCAAAGUAAUAAAUAGCAUAAACCGGAAAGGGAGAAAAGAGACUGAAGGGAUUGAGUGGGUUUGGCAAGGAGGAGGCGAAACCCCAGAGGCGGGCGAGUGUCAGCCCCAGCUGGGCGGACAUUUUGUUGGCAUGCUGAUAGGGACUUAAGCGGUGGGUGGGUGGGUGGGUGUGUGCCAGGCGAGAGAAUGAGCUGAGGCAGAAGGGAAAGAGAGAGAGAGGGGCGCUCACAAAAGUGCCGUCACUAAGCUUGAUUUCAGCAGGAGGAGCUGAGACGAUUAGGGGGGACCGGGAAGAAACGAUGGGGUGAAAGACGGGGGAACGCUCCAUUGAGACGCUGCCAUGGCUGCGAGAGGGGGAUCUCUCUUUCAGACGAGCUAAUGAAGCAUAUGCUGAGGUGAAUAAUGGAAUCUUCCAAAGGGUGGGCCGCUGUCUUCGUCCGCUAUUCACCAACUUGGUGCCUUUGGAGAGACGUGUCGUGACAGAAAGAGGGCCCUCCUCUUAAAGGGAUAUCAUUGUUUACACAGCAGGGGAGGACGGCACGAAUAAAAGCGAUGCAGAGACAAAUCGAACGUAAAACAAACCAUAAAACCGCACGUCAACCGGCUCUUACAGAACUCAGAUUUCUCUCUCUCUCUGUAGUCCGUUGGAAGACUGCAGCUGAAAUUACAUAACCUUGUAGAGAAAAUACUGAGAAUAGCAUGCACUGAUACCACAGUCGACGAGGAUUAGCCAAGAAUUGUCCCAGAACAACAGGGACGGGUUCGGUGUGCGUCAUCGAUAAUCACUUACGAUUACACAAAUAAGAGCAAACACAUCAGGGGGUGCAACCAGACAUGUCAUAGGACGGAGCAGACAGGAGCCCCCUUUGACCUUGACCCCUAGGGUCCUUCUUCACCUGCUGUUCAAUGGGGCUUCAUGAGCAGCUGGGCUGUCUAGUCAGUGCCUGACAGAAUAUUUUACACUUUCGUCUAUUCCCACGCUUGAUGAGUAGGUCGUCGCUGCAGGCGGGACUGGUGUUUAUGCAGCUGACAGAGAGGCAGCAGCCAUUUUUAGAACACUGGGAUGCAAAUAUUCGCUCCUCAUCAAGUAGACAACUUCUCCCCCAGACUGCUUCUCUUGGCCUGGAUGUGAACAAAACCAGCCUCUGGCAAACAACUAGCUCUUUCUGUGCAUGUGUGUGUGUGUGUGUGUGUGUGUGUGUGUGUUUGUCUUUUUUUUGGCUGUGUAUCUGCACCCCUCUCCUCUCUGUAAAUGGACAGACCUGGGUUAGGCUAAGGCACUGUGUUGUAAAGAGAAUUGUGCCGAGAGGAGGGUUCGGAGUGUUUUCAUUAUGGCUAAAUCUCAGACCUGACUCUUCAGCGUGGCCUGUGCCACCAAGCCGACAGUUUAAUCAUACAAACAGCACUCUGUUCCCAUUUCCGCCUCUCUCCUUCACACACUCCACUCCCCGCUUCAUAAUUCUGCACUCUACAUGCUCCCGCGCAAUGCCUGUGUUUUGGGGGCUUUAAAAUGACACAAUCAGUGACUUGGAUAAAUGUAUGACUGUUUUCCCUCAGACUGUAACCAGCCCCAGUGAACACAGGUCCUGAUUUUUAAAGAGGCAGCACUGUGGGGUUUUUUUUUUUAAAUCCUCUUUCUCCUUGCAUACCACUGAAGCUCUUUUAUAAUGGAAAAACGUCCAGACAAUGGAUAGUUCAUCUUAGGCAGAACUGCAUUAAAUAUCUCCUAUUAAGUCCAUACUGUGGUUACAAACCACACAGGAAAUUACUUCAGGUCACAUAUUAGAAAUACACACAAGUCUAUUAAUAGAAAACUGAACAGAUGGAGUGGCAGGCUCUACAUGUUUCCAGACCCCAUGGUUCAUACACAUCAUAGUUAUUAUAGCUUUAGCAUUUUAGAAGUGUACUGUCACAAGUGAGUGAACAAACAACAACUGACUUUUUUCAUAAGAAACACCAUUUGGCACACCUGUCAAAUAAUCCGUUCAAAAAUGUAUGAUUCGUAUCAAUUCCACACACAGCACUGACACGCUUUACUCAUUCAGGUCUGUUUUAGACAUCUAGCACACAGCAGAUCAAAUCACUUGUCAUACCAGGUGCAUAAAAAAAGGAAAAAGCAAAUGCAGCAAGGGUCGAAUUGAGCAAUGGCAAUAAAUGCAUUCAGCAACUAUUACUUCUGUGGGUGAACUACAUUCAAUCAAUAUCCAAGCAAAUAAAAGCACUGAGCACUCAGAGCUAAGGAACCCCUUGCACUGAAACACUGCAAAACAUUAAAUAUACGUGCCUCACAUUAUACUGAAGGGACGCUGAACUCAUGGGGUAUUUCUGCAGUGCAGCAUGGCAUAAAAAACUGGAUUAAGAAUUCUCAAAACAGCAGAUUCAUGUUUUGGAAAUGAUCUAAUAUAGUAAAUCUACAUUAAACCAAAUAUGUGUGUCAAUACAUCCUUUAUUCAACUACAAUCACCAUGCACUUUAUUUGGAACACCUGUACAUCUGCUCAUUUAUGCAGUUAUUUAAUCAGCCAUUCAUGUGGCAGCAGCACAAUACAAAAAAAAUCAGGUCAAGAGCUUCAGUUAAUGUUCAAACAUCAAACAUCAGAAUGAAGGGAAAAACUCUGAUCUCUGUGAUUUUAACCAUGGUAUGGUUGUUAGUGCCAGAUGAGCUGGUUUGAGUAUUUCUUAAACUGCUGAUCUCCUGGGGUUUUCACGCAAAACACUGUGUACACAGAAUGGUGUGAAAAACAAAAAUACAGAGUGAGUGACACUUUGUUGUUAAGAGAGGUCGGGGAAAAAUGGCCAAAUUGGUUUGAGCUAUCAGGAAGGAUAAAGUAAUUUAUAUAAUCACUCUUUACAACCGUGGUGAGCAGAAAAUCAUCUCAGAAUGCACAAAACAUCAAACUUGAGGUAGAUGAGCUACAACAGCAGAAAACCACAUCGGGUUCCACUCCUAUCAGUCAAGAACAGCAAUCUGAGGCUAUCAUGAGCAGAUUCACCCAAACUGGACAGUUGAAGAUUAGAAAAAAAAUGACCUGGUCUAUUUCUACUCUUGAUUCUGAUAUUUGAUGUGAACAUGUGAUUGGCUGAUUAGAUAACUGUUCCUAAUAAAAUCGACAGUGAGUGCAUACUAGGGGUUCUCAGAAACUCCCUUCAUCUGUAAAAUAAAUUUCAGCACAGAUUUAUUUUAUAAUUCCAAUUAUUCAAAUAUUCAUCUCAUUAUUCAAAUGUGCACAGUCAUAUUCUGGCUAUUUAUUGGAACCCUAGAUUUUUUCUUUUUACAUAUAUUCCUGAACUUUCCACUGACAGAACACAUUAUGUCCAAGUUGACAUUAUUUAUCAUCUGAGUAAUUGAGGUGUGGAUUAAUUCAAUUCAUGUAACCAUUCAAACAGGGUAAUCACUUAAUCACUAUAACAACUCAAUAAGAAAUAUAAUGACUUUUGAUAAUGGUGGAUCCUGUAACAGAAUAAAAAAGCUCCGGCGAGGCUUCACAGACCCCAUUUAGAGACCACAACACAAUACUGAUCAAUACUUAUAUGCAAUAUAAGGGUACUUACUAUGCUUAUACUUAUUAUUGUGCAAUAUGGACAUUUAAAAUCCAGUGGCUAAUACAAAUAAUCUGAUUUUUAAGAUUUCCAGCUGCUAACAAACUUCCACACAGACCAGGGCUUUUAAAAAUCCUUCACCCUUUCCUAUUGAAAUUAUUUUGGAACUCACACAAAGUUUCUUUUUAUGCACCUGUGGACAGAAAAUGUCAAGGAUCUGUCUGAAUCUUGCUAAAAGUGCGGAAACCCCUUAUUUUCAGGCCUCCUGACACUCUGCCCCCUUUGGGCUUGCUAACAGAAUUUACCGUAUUUGCUUCGCUGCCUGGCUUUGUGUUGAAUUAUGCAUAAUUGCACUAGUGUACUUGCACACAUAGCUACGAGCAUGAUUAGCAUAAAAGCUCUCUGUUUUUUGUUUCUUUAUAAAGGACAGUGGGGGUGGGGGGAUUUUCAAGACAUAAAGAAUGGCAAGUGAUUUGUGGUAAAUGUGCGUAAUGUGCGUAAUGUGUGUGUGUGUGUGUGUGUGUGUCUGUUCACAUAAAGAGGCCAUGGGGUGUGUUAGCUAGCUUAUAAGGCUAUAUAUAACAUUGUCCGACCCAAACUAAAAACAUAUGGGCUCCCCAGCUGCUGUAAAUAUGUAAAUAAGGGGAUGAGAGCCAGCCAUUUGACCCAGACGAGUUCUACAUGACUGGAACUAGCCUAGACCAGACAUACACACCCUGCAAAGUCCAAUUUUAAAACCCCAUCACAGCCUCAUAAACCCCCACGGCUUCAAAAAACAAGAGAGUAAGUGAUGUAAAGUAAUCGUUCUGUAACGGAUUAUGUACAGUAAAGAGCUAGAUUACAUUUUGUCAUUUAGCAGACGCUUUUAUCCAAAGAUUAAAAUAUAUUAAUAUAUAAACUUAAAUAUAAACUGAGAAAACAAAUACAAUGCACAUGUGAAUCAUUUCAGCAUACUAAACUCCUGUGGGAGAAUGUUUUCAAAAUAAAGAUGUAUUACAUUUUAUUUUUGUGAGGUGUCCAUUCUUAAUUUUAGUUAUGCAAGUUAGACAAAUAUAUAUAUAUAAAAAAAUUAUCAUAAGCCAGUUUAGUUUGUCUUUAAAACACUGUAGAAAAAGUUGCAAUUGUUUCCCUUUUAAAGCCUUGGGAAUAUUAUUAAAUAAGCUACAUCCUCACAAUAUUUUUUAAAAUAAUGUGACAUUGCGGCUUUUCUAGGUUAAUGUAUUUAUCAUCGCAAUUAAAGGGCAACUUUCUAACAUGUUUAAUUAUGUCAUUAAGACAUUGGCUGAAUUGAAAAUAACAUUACUAAUAAAAGCAUUAGAGGUUUGGUGUGUUCACACUAAAUAAAUCAAUAGAAAAUGAAAGGAAAAGAUAAUCUCAAGUAUAAAUGGUUAAUUUGUGGAAUCCAUGCCAUUCCAUAAUAAAAGAAAAUGUUAUCCAACUGCCAUAAAAAUGAUAUUAUUAAUGAAAAGUCAAACAUCAAUUUCACUGACGAGAAUUCUCAAUCAGGAGAGUGAGACUGCUCGAAAUGUAGGCGUUAAGGCUUAUAAAUGAUCUCUUCUGUACAGCAGUCCUGUGAAAACAGUCUCAGUAUGAAGUUAAUGCAGUAUCAAUGCGGAACCAGAAAGCGGAGGAACCACAAAAUGCAAGGUGAAAGAACAAAUAUUUUUAUAAAACUCCAUGCUUGUUCUUAUUAAAUAUCCUUUACUGUUAUUCCAACAGCAAUUCAAAACCAUUUAUCCUUGACUGAAAUGUUUCCACAAACUCAUAGUACAUAACUGCAACUCAUAAUUGUAGAUGCCAGUUGAUCUGCUUAAACUGCUAGGGAUCAUGUCCCUGAUUGCCCAAUCUGCAGAACAGUAAUACACAUGUAAAGCGCUGUAUUGUAUGGAGGAACACAAUGUUGCCCGGUGAGAGUGUGUGUGUGAAGGGCGAGCAUUGCUGGGUCCCACGAUGCAGCAGCGCACCAAGGCCUAUGGUGGCGACUGCUACGCAUGCUAAUGAGGUCAUUAUGUGGGGCUGUGUGGAGUUGGGCCCUGCGACAGAGGGAUUUGAGUAGCACCGGCUAGUUCGACUAGCCCAGGCACAGAUGUCACAGAUGGUACAGUCGUCAGGUGCUUUGUGACUGGAAAAGCCACGUUUCUCUCAUUUAAAGCAACAGAAUGCUAACGUGGCUUAACAUAAGGACGAAUAAAUUGUAAAAUAGUACAAAAGACAUGAGUGGCAGGUACAUGCUCCAAAGUGCUCAAAAGCUGCUCACAAAGAUUUGUGUGUGUGUGUGUGUGUGUGUGUGUGUGUGUGUGUGUAUGUAUGUGUGUGGCUCAGUACAGUAACAGUUGGGCGAAUAUGCGAAUACAAUUAUAGACGAUUUACAUGCGGGCACUGAUUAAGCAGAUGGCUGGUGUUCAGAGUGGCGCCAUCUUGGGUAAAGGGACAGCUGGCAGAUGGUGGCGGCCAUUUUGUCAGUGGCGCUGCCAAGCUCAGACACUGCCUGGCAUGUGUGUAGAUGCUAUGCUGGCAUUCUUGUGCGUAAUUUACUGUGGGGGUUUGUACCCAGUACACUAACAGCACUUUAUAUAAUAUGCUGAUUAUAGCUAGGUUACAAAUAAAAUUACCCAAACAUGACAAACGCAGAUGUUAAACAAAGGAAAGGACACUGUGCUCAGUGCUUUAUUGCGGUUUUUGUGUGAGUUUGAUGAUUUUGUGAACCCAAGGGGAAGCCUGGCUUUCUCCCACAGCUGCUCCUUGAUGAAAUAUAGCAAUUUAACUAAGCACACAGGCAGUGUAUCUGGAAUUUACACAUCAUUCUGUGCAGAAGAUACUGACUGAAUUGUAACCAAUGAUUAAAACAGAUGAAGAACAGGGGUGCGCUUACCAUUUCAGAGGAUUAGACUCCAUCAUCUCCUGGCAAACUUCAUUCCUUAAAGAAUCCAUGGGGACAUGGCACUACCUUUAGCAACAUACACACUCCAUUCACCUAUGUUCGUUGUGUCUCAUGGAAGGAAAUGGAGCUUUCCUUAUCAGCUCUGGAUCAGGGAAUGACUGAAAACAGUGUGUGACAAACACUGGGAAAGUUUAUUGAGUCAUUUUGGUCCUAGUUUGGAGCUCAGCUCCAACUUUGCACUCCGUCUGAAUGGCAUCUUAUUAAAACCUGGUACUGUGGAGGUCCAGAAGUAUUGAAGUAUGUAGAAAAGAGUGCCAAGCCUCUUCAUGUGGAUUAAAACCAAAGCCUUUUUAGAAGCUCUCAAACAGUGGCGAGGAUUUUGAAAAAAUCAUCUAAUUUAAUCUACAACAGAAAAGGCGAAAAAAUGUCGUCCAAAAAAGACAAAAGUUCAAGUUGUCCUCUCUUGCCAGCUCAUCUGAUGUAGAGGCUUGGAGGAGGGCCUGAAAGAGGGAUUGUACGUCAAGCCCUCAUUCAAACAGUCGAUGGGAAUGUGCACUCACAGUAAAAAAGGAAUCGAGGAGAGGGAAAAAGACCUUUGACACUCUUUUUCUGUUCAUUCUCCCGCAGACAAAGUUUUAUCAAGUGGUGUUGGGACUGAAGGUCCCUCCAGCAGAACCACACACACACAUACACACUCUUGCUCUCACACAUGGUCCGCCUUUGGCUGAUGCAAGUUGACUGGUAAAGGGAGAGAUGAGCGCUUGUGAUCCCUUGGCACCAUGGCCCGGGGCUGCGUCGCCCGACCCCUGGCAGCCUCUUCCCUCCGUAUUGAUUGCUCUGCUGAGGAGCCUGUGCCCGGUGGGUGCAACUGCCCGCCUCUGCUGCCCACUCCGUUGAAGCCUGGCCGGCCCCUGCUGUCUCCCCGAGACCCCGAGACACAGAGCCGGAGCCUCAUGAGGAGAGGAAGAAGAGAGGGAGGAGAGGAAGAAGAGAGCCGGCGGCGGUCCACAGCUGUGUUCACCUGCUCUCAGUUCAGUCCUCCAUCAUCCCAUAUUCCUACUCCCACUCUCGGCUCGUUCUCUGCCUCCUGCCAGCAAACAACAACAGAUAGGGGGGAACAAAAAAAAAAAAAACAAGUUCAGCUUAACUUUCAAUCUGAGUGUCAAUCCGUGACUUUGAUCAGAAAGAUGUGUAAGGUGGAUGUUUUGGCAUCUUCUCACAGUUUGUAAGGUGAACUUUCUGACCUCAGAUUUUUAACAUGCUGAAGUUGAAGAUUUUUUGAGUUUAGGAUGUCAGACUGAAAGAAACAGCCUGCCAAGUGCACUUACUGCCACUACCUCUGAUGUUUCUUUGCUUGCAGUAAAAAGAGUUUUGGCCAAAAAUAUUGUGUGUUGUAAAUAGAAUAUAAAAAGACUAUAUUUCUGAAACAAAUUCCUUCUUCUUUUAGGCUGUGCGCAAAAUUAUUUCAAUUAUUUCAGAGGCCUGCUAUCAUGCAAAUGAUUGAGAGGGAUAGUUUGAUAGACUUCAGGGUCAAUUAUGUGCUUAAAAGCAUUCCUCCCUCUCCUAGCAUAAAAAAAACCCCAGAAACUGGUAAAUUAAAAAUAAAAAAAGAUGAAAAAAAGAAGUAAAUAAUUUUGAUAAGUUGUAGCAAGUGGUUCGGUGUUGGGGGAAAAGGGGGCAGCGCAGCUCAGAUGGGCAUGGGGUGGAACUGGGGUUGUGUCUCAGACACAAUAAUACUAUUCAUUGGGCUCAGACGUGGGUGUUAACUCCCCUCUGGCUGCGCACAAUGGUGCUCGGCGGCAUUGAGACAGCCCCAGUGAUACUGUUAGUUCAGGGCUGCGGUCGGCCGGCUGCGUGAGAAAGAGCCAGCAUUGUGUCCAUGCGGCAGAAUGGAUGGAGGGAGGCUUGAGAGGUGAAAGGCAAAGAAAGAGAGAAGGCGGGGUGGGGGGUUGGGGGCAACACAGAGGGGGUUGGAGGGAAAUGAGGGUAGGAGGGUUUGCCCCAUGGCACUGGACUUGGGGGGAAAAAUGAAAAGAAAAGAGAGGCUGGAGAGAUAAAGAUUGAGCUAUAAAUAUUAUUGAAGCAGCCCAGCAUGGAGCUAAAGAGGCAUGGAGGCAGGGGGCAAAAAAGGAAACCAAAAAUCCAAAAUGUAGGUGGUAAAGCUUGCAUUUGAGCAGGCUAUUUAAAUACAUAUCAAAUAUUUCCAUAGUUAGUAUGUAUAAAAGGCAGUAGAACUGCAUGCAAUACAUUGAUCAUACAAGCAGGCAAGGAAAGAAAGAAAACAGGGAAUGAAAGCAUGGUUGAAAUCAGGCAAAUAAGGUCUGACUACCACAAGAUUCAUGUCACUUCGCUCCAUUUCCCUGUCCUUGAGUCUUGGGAUGGAGUUUGGAAUGAGAAAGAAAACUGAAGUGAAGGGGAAAGAAAAUGCAGGAUAGAACUGAUGGGGACAUGAAUGCUAACACACAAUACCAAGCAGAUUCAUGCUUUCUCUUCACAAAAGCAGAGCUAAUAAUUAUAGUUUGGCAUGGGGGGGGGGGGGGGGGGUCCUUCCUGCAGCCUCUGGGCACAAGGACCAUCAGACAGAGUUAGAAUAUAUUAAAAAUGUGAGCUUUCACUCAUGGGCUAAAGGUUUCAGAGAGGAUACAUAGAACAAUACACAGUAUGCAGAUAAUUUAAUUACCACUGCAUAAAGACUGCCAUGGUUAUUCGUCAACUUCUGAACAAAUGUCCUCGCAAAGUGGACUAUCCAAGUAACACUGCGAGCUUUACAACAGUAUUAUUAAAGCAUGUGAUUUUACUGAUCUUACAAAAUCUUGCAAAGUCUUUCACUGAUUGAACAGUUAUGUGGUAUACACUCAACUAAGAAAAGACAGGUUCAUUUAAUAUUCUCUAUAGCGACAAGUUGGAAGCACACACACACACACACACACACACACACACACACACACACACACACAUAUGCACACACACACCAAUUCAACCUGCUUUUUAUGAGGUUUUUAUGAGCACUACUUUGUUUCCUUUCUGGUUAACACUCAGCAUCUGUUCCCAUGGCAACGCAACCUUCUUUUCUGCUUCUGAUUGACAUGAAGCUGAAGCCACACCCCUGGUUUCAGCACAACCCACAGCACUUCUUCACCCUCAUGUUACACAGCUCAUUCUGCAUAUUAACACUCAUUAUUACUGCGGUUAUAUAUUAUCCAGCGACUGUGUGAGACUUUACUGUCUCAAUCGUAAGACUAGGAUUCAAUAUAAAGACCUUAAAUAUAAGCUUAAAAUCUCAGCUGGAAUCACAGAAACGAGAAGUGUGAACGUUCAACCCUAUCAAACCAAAAGCCCUACAGCAGGUGUGCAGCAGCGAAGCCCAGCUGUGGUCAUCGCUACUAAUAGGCCGUGUUAUUGGGACAAGAUGUUUGAUGUAGAUGCUGGAGAUCAGAGCAGGGCAGGCGGUGGCUCAUUCUCGCCGAACUUGCCGCUGGAGCCCACCAGGGAGCUGUUCGGCUCUCCGCAUCUCCUCAGCGCUGCCAUUUCAUCUCCGUGGACCCUCUCGCCUCUCCCAGGCCCACAUGAAUAAGUAACGAGGUGCACAGACUCAGCCUGGAGCUUUGAAGCCGUGAGUGGAGCUGGAUGAAGCAGGACUCGAUGAUCCGGGAGCUCUCUGGUCAGGGGGGGAUAAUGUAUCUCAGUGGCCUGUGGGCUGUUCCAUUGUCCCAGUGGAGGGGAUUACACCGGGGCGAAAGGGACCUGACAAUGUGACACUCCUGUGAGGGAGGGCUAGCAAGCUUCCCUGCCAAUGAGGGGGGCGGUUAACUUCUCACCAACUCAAUUAGCUAAGUUGGGAAGGAGUAAAGAGCCCUAAGCAGGAGAAAGGAGAAAUGGGUAAUAUGGGUAAGGAGGACUGAGUGAGAUGGGGAGAGAGAGAGAGAGAGAGAGAGAGAGAGAGAGGAGAGAGUAACAGACUUAAGGGUUUAACAUGGGAUUAGAGGAGGGAUGUGAUGAUGAAAGAAUGAGAAAGAAAGCAGGCCUAAAUAGACAAGAUGGACAGGAAAAUAUGUGAAAGCAAGAGUAGACAGACUAAAGACAUACAGUUCAGGACUGGCCUCAUGAACUUAAAUGGUUUUGACUACAUGUGUAUGCACAAUAUUACAAACCUAGAUGUUUAUUCAAUAAUGGGAGCUAAUACUUUACCAAACAAGACAAAGAAAUAUACCAAAGUGGACGGCACAGGAAGUCAUAUUGACUUACAAAGUGUUUCACUGCCUACACAAGCUUAGAAUCUGCAUGUCCUUUCAGGGAGAAUGCAGACCAAUAUUUAAAAGUCAGACAUUCAUAUACAUAAUACAGGUAGUGAUUUAUCAACAUUAAGUCUAUGACAUCAAGUUUUGGAAGACUUUACAAUAAACACAAAUUUUAGAAUCCUUUGCAGAAACCAUGGUGUGUAAAAGUAGCUACUUGUUUUGUUAUAUAGUACAGAGGUGGAUGAAUACAACAUGUUUGCAUUAUGGAUGUGACAUGUCUGAAACAGACCACACGGCUGUGUAUAGAAAAGGGAAUUUAAAAUUAAGAAUAAACUAUUAACUACUAAUAACAAAAGAAAUCUGUAACAGUUCAUGAAGGUAUAGGUUGGGGUUAGAGGUGGGUUAGCGUCUGUACUGUAUCUUAGGACUUUCAAUCAUAUUAAAUCAAAUGAAAUCCAACCACUUCACCAUCACUCAUUCAAACUUGUACAAAUGCUUUGUGAGAUCAGGUUCCUCCAACCUUGAAAGUGAAAACUGAAGCAGUGCAGUGUGGCUGGGUGAAACAUGACGUUUUAUUUGCGUGUGGCUCUCAAGUUUAAUGGUUAUAUGCUCGUUCAAUCAGAGUGGUUAAAUGCAGACAUUUAAACAAAACAAACUAAAUAAAAAUGAGGAGCAGGUCUCUUAGUGAAGACAGAAAUAAAGGCAUGCAGUCUAAGAACCCCAGUUAGGGCUGCACAACAUGGAUAAAAAUAUCAUAUUGAGUUUAUAUGGCUACACACUGCAAUUGCAUUGUCGUUCUGUGAACUAAUAAUGUGUCACAAUUAAAGAAUGUCUUGCAUUUGUUUGAUGAUAUUUUUGCUCAUAGAAAAUAGCAAUUACAUGCUAUUUAGGAGUGAGCAGAAUGUAAGUGAUAAUGCACGAUGGGUGUGCUGUUUUAGGAAAAUAAUCCAUGUCAUGGUAGGUGUGACAUGGCCCAAUGUAAAGUGGAGGAUUAUUUUCCUACAAAAGCAUGGUCCGAGCUGUGUUAUUCCUUGUACACCACAGUGAUUUGAUGAUCAUUUUUAAUUUAUUAAUGAUUGACAUUUUUAUGUUAUGUUCUUCAACCAACUCUCGUUUCACUCUCUUGAAGUUGAUACGACCAAAAAAAAAAAAAAAGUCAUGUUGUCAUGUUACUGAGAAACCAGAAAGCGCAAAGUCCUCUUCCAUACACGUGCCUGUGACCGAGCAGUUAUUAUAGAAAUGAUAAUGUGUUAGAACGAGUGCACUAAUAUAAACCAUUUACGUUACAGCCAGAACUAGUGUCAAAGCUGCUGUUAUAGAAAAUCAAUCCACAGCUUCUGAUUCAAAAAUUCAACUUUGCUGUGGUAUAAUACAAUAUAAUAUUGAUGUCAUGAUUAUUUAUGUCAUGUAAACUUUUCAGAGAUAUGCUAGGUAGCUUUAGUAUAUUUCAGAAAAUGUGACUGGAUGCAUCAGAUUAUAUAUUGAAAUUUUACCCUCAAUCUUUAAAAUUGUAAAAUGUUAUAAUUUUAUACUGAAUGUAUUAUUUUCUCUCCUUUUGAGUCUGAAAUAUUUUUGUAGCAUAAGGUUUUUCGAGCAAAACUAUUUUUUGCAUAUUUCUUAGCAAGCUUAUAUGUCAUGAUACAUUGCAUAUAUUUAAGAAAUCUUCGUGUCAUGACAUAGUCCACCCCCAAUACUCUAUUUUGUGCAGUUAUUUUAAUGUAGCACAUACUGUAGCUCUUUAAUAGGACAGUCUUUGUAGGAACGCAUACACAGGCAGUGGUGUGGACAACUUAUUACAGGCCUCAGUGGGACUUCCCUACUCCCACCUCCCUCAGUGCUCAGCUUCCCAACACGCACUGCUCUCGUAUUGAUUCUGCGAGUGAGCGCGAGCUCUGCUACCAUCUCCACCACGCUGCCCACUACUCGCGUCCUCUCCGACCCCAUCAUCGCACUCAUCAAGGUUAAAGAACUCUCCAGAAAAAGAGAGGAGAAUGUUAUCUGACUUCAUGAAAGUGACUGCCUGAGGGCCCUACUGGGAGAGAGGCAUCCUCGAUGCGCCAUCUCGCUCCGACCACCAGCGCCCUCCCACUCAAACCCACAAAAAAAAAAAAAAAAAACAGAUCAGCGUUGAGGAAGUAUAACAUUUUGCUUAGGGUAGAGACCCCUUGCAGCUACAUGAACAGGAGCUCUGUAAUUACUUAACAUGGACUCUGUACAUCAGCAUCUCGACCUUGGAAUUUACAUUUUCAGUUUCGAUUCAAAGUGGAGCUGAGGGUUGAGGUUGCGCUUCAUGUUUAUGGUUAUCUUGCAAUGGUUAAG
ensembl:lncRNA